UACGAAGGGGGCUAGCGUUGCUCGGAAUCACUGGGCGUAAAGGGUGCGUAGGCGGGUCUUUAAGUCAGGGGUGAAAUCCUGGAGCUCAACUCCAGAACUGCCUUUGAUACUGAAGAUCUUGAGUUCGGGAGAGGUGAGUGGAACUGCGAGUGUAGAGGUGAAAUUCGUAGAUAUUCGCAAGAACACCAGUGGCGAAGGCGGCUCACUGGCCCGGUACUGACGCUGAGAUACGAAAGCGUGGGGAGCAAACAGG
rnacentral:rRNA from 1 species